AUUGAACGCUGGCGGCAUGCUUUACACAUGCAAGUCGAACGGUAACAGGCCGCAAGGUGCUGACGAGUGGCGAACGGGUGAGUAAUGCAUCGGAACGUGCCCAGUUGUGGGGGAUAACGCGGCGAAAGCUGUGCUAAUACCGUAUACGAUCUAUGGAUGAAAGCGGGGGACCGUAAGGCCUCGCGCGAUUGGAGCGGCCGAUGUCAGAUUAGGUAGUUGGUGGGGUAAAGGCUCACCAAGCCAACGAUCUGUAGCUGGUCUGAGAGGACGACCAGCCACACUGGGACUGAGACACGGCACAGACUCCUACGGGAGGCAGCAGUGGGGAAUUUUGGACAAUGGGCGCAAGCCUGAUCCAGCAAUGCCGCGUGCAGGAAGAAGGCCUUCGGGUUGUAAACUGCUUUUGUACGGAACGAAAUCUUCUGGACUAAUACUCUGGGAGGAUGACGGUACCUGAAGAAUAAGCACCGGCUAACUAUGUGCCAGCCGCCGCAGUAA
rnacentral:rRNA from 1 species